AUUGAACGCUGGCGGGAUGCUUUACACAUGCAAGUCGAACGGCAGCACGGACUUCGGUCUGGUGGCGAGUGGCGAACGGGUGAGUAAUGUAUCGGAACGUGCCCCGUCGUGGGGGAUAACGUAGUGAAAAUUACGCUAAUACCGCAUACGAUCUAUGGAUGAAAGCGGGGGAUCGCAAGACCUCGCGCGAUUGGAGAGGCCGAUAUCAGAUUAGGUAGUUGGUGGGGUAAAGGCCCACCAAGCCAACGAUCUGUAGCUGGUCUGAGAGGACGACCAGCCACACUGGAACUGAGACACGGUCCAGACUCCUACGGGAGGCAGCAGUGGGGAAUUUUGGACAAUGGGCGAAAGCCUGAUCCAGCCAUUCCGCGUGCAGGAUGAAGGCCCUCGGGUUGUAAACUGCUUUUGUACAGAACGAAAAGGUUUCUACUAAUACUAGGAGCUCAUGACGGUACUGUAAGAAUAAGCACCGGCUAACUACGUGCCAGCCGCCGCCGUAA
rnacentral:rRNA from 1 species